GAUGAACGCUAGCGGCAGGCUUAAUACAUGCAAGUCGAGGGGCAGCGGGAGUAGCAAUACUUGCCGGCGACCGGCGCACGGGUGCGUAACACGUAUACAAUCUGCCUUUUACAGGGGGAUAGCCCGGAGAAAUCCGGAUUAAUACCCCAUAACAGUAGAGUAAGCAUUUACUUUAUUUGAAAGCUCCGGCGGUAAGAGAUGAGUAUGCGGCUGAUUAGCUAGUUGGUAGUGAACGGACUACCAAGGCUACGAUCAGUAGGGGA
rnacentral:rRNA from 1 species